UCUAGCUUCAUUUGAGAAGCUUUGCAGAAUUCUGUGGAAGAUAGCCAUAGGUUUCACAUAGCAGGUUUGCAUUGUUGUUUUCACUUCAAAACCAAAGGUGGGAUGGAGAGAUUGAUAUUGAUGAAUGAAGCACUGCUUGAACAAUGCACCAGAGCCUUUUCUUGGAAGAAAGGAAAGAGUAAUGUUACUGUGGAUGACCUUGUAAAUGUAAUCACGCCUAAGGGCAGAGGAUUUUGAAUGAAGGAAACACAGGUCAUGCUUAUAAUGGUGUACUGUGGGUUCUGGAGUGGCCUUGAAGUUGCAGUGGCUUGGCUCCCCAUGUGCGAUGCAUUUGAUGGGGAGCCAGGCCUACAUGAACUCUCUUUUGUGCUGCUUCCCCAAGCAAGUGUGGAUAUACUUUACAGUGCUCAUCUCUCACGUCUAUCAAGGUGAAAGUAUAAUAUGCCUGAUUGUAAACUGUGUUAAGAAAUAUAAGGUAACUAAUGUGAAAUAUUUCUUUACUUAACUCUUGUCUAAUACAGUACGUCUCUUUUUAGACAUAGUCAUGAUAAAAGGUGCCAAGAAGCAGAAUUGGGUCAAUCUAUCAGGCUUCACUUACUUCUGAUAACCUUAAUAACACCAACGUAUAUAAAAAAAAUAAAAAACUAAAAAUAAUUUCCUAGUGUCGAAAGGGGGAAACAGAUUAGAUGCUAUUGCUAAUGAAUGCAUUGACACAGUAUGCAAAAUGACUUGAAGACAACAUAUGGCCAUGUGAAGUAGAUGUACGUUGGUGUUAUUAAGGUUGGAGUAGAUGUACAUUAUUAUAUAUAUUGUUUGAGGAAUGUGGAGACUUGGGGAAGUUCAAUAAAUACGUACAUGUCAUCAGCCUUGUUUUAUUUUCUGAUUAAGUAGCACUGUCUGACGACUUUGAUCUAUUCCACAUCAUAAGUGGGAUUAGACAAUGGGUUUGUUUAAUGCAGUUUUGGGUUUUAGAAAUAUUCUAGGUGAACAAAGUUGUCUGGAAGAAGAAAUCUUAAGCAUUGCGUGCCUGGGAAUCAAGACAGCAUAACUCCUUAUUUUGCUACGUCAUCUGAUAAUUUGGCUUCUCUUUAUCAGCCUCAGCUUUCAUUGGAAUGAGCAGUUUAACCAGGAAGUUGGGAAUCUAGUGUCCCUGAUGGGAAUAAAAAAUCUCCCCGAUGGGAUGAUUGUAUUGUUAUCGUUAAUCCAUAUGUUUUUUUUUUUGGACUAUCAUUUGGAUUUAUUGAUGAAGAAUAGAAGGUAGAAGUACAACCCCAUAGGGCAAUAGUUAUUCUCCAUAAUUAUUGGCUUCCUCCAAUUCUGCUUUGCACCUCAUCACUUCGUACUUUUCAAUAAAAGUUUCCGAGGUAUGUGUCUUACUAUGCAAAUAUUUGCUCUUUUUUCCCAUUAUGACUUCAUGGUGACAUUUAUUGUUUAAACUUUAAAGGGACGAGAAAAUUCUCUCUCCCCUCUCUUAAACACGCGUGCACACACACACACACACACACACGCACUUGCACACUUCAUAGCUCUGAAGUAGGGAAGCAUUCUUCCAUUUACCUGGUUUUCAAUCCAUUGGGACUUGUUUUUACCCAUUUUUUUGAGAUUAAGACAUACCUGACAUCUUUGUUUUGUUGGUAGUUGUAAAAUUUAUUCUUAGAAGAGAUUUAUGGUCGUAAUUUAAUGAAACUUUUUUUUUUUUAAUUGUCUUUCCACACAUUACUUUCAAUUUGGUUGGGUGUCCAUAAGACAUAUAUUUGGGUUGUUGCACCUAGGGCUUGAGAUCAAAUCCUGUGUUCAUCCCAAUUACCUGUAUAUGUGUGUACAUUCAUUUUCCAUUUUAUUUACUUUUUUUUUUGUAGGGUGAACUUCGAGAUGUUUUAUGUCUGAAAAAAAUCUACUGAGAGCUGUUCUUGGAUUACUCAAAUAUUGCUAGGUGCUGUUAUUUUCAUUUAUAGAACCAUAGCAAGGCCUGUAUCAAUUGAUGAUGCUGUUCUUAAUGACGUGACUACUUUAUUGCAAAAGAAUGACUAUACCUGAUUACCCGGUGACCUUCAAGAUGUUUUACUUCUAAGAAAGAAUCUACUGAGAGCUUUUCUCGAAUUACUCAAAUGGAAGGCUAAGAGAUGAAAACUCAAUUCUUUGUUGCAAAGAUGCUCCAGAAUUAUUAAAACUACUUGAAGAUGCUGUCUCUGUUAUCAAGAAAAACUGCUCUGAUCUUCUACAUCAUGGUUGUCUUGGCUUUUGCCCCAUUUUGGAUGGUACCGUCUCUGCAUUAUCUUCUCUCUGCAUCUUCUCUUCUGAAUUUUCUCUGCUCAUCAAAAUGCUGUUGAAUCUGUGCUUUGUCGAUAUACUAUCUAAGUCGCUGAGAAUCUCUUUAGGGCUUUGGCUGCACUUUAUGAGGUAUACUCUGAAUGCUCAAGUAAUGUUCAAUUGGAGAUGGUCAUGUGUAACUUAUCAUUAUCCAAAGCUUUCCUGUAAAAUUCUAAUCCAUCAGGUGGAAGUGAAGUUAAGAUUGUCAAUAUGGAAUUGGAUGUGAAUGAAGAUUCCAGGGAUAUGGAUCAUUUAGCUUUUCGUGGGAAGGGUGUCUGUCUGUCAUUUCUUCUCAUUCUUCUAUGAAGUGGAAGUUGGACAUGAUUACCAAUUUCUAUUGUUUUUUCUCAGUUCUGCCUUCUAUUACAUGGAAAAUAUUGUUUAAUCUCAUGGAAAGGGAAAAAGAUAAAAAGGUGCAAUAUGCCUUGUUUAUCGUUCACGUUACAAAUUUGCAUUGUGCAUGUUUAGUGACUGUACACUAAAAAAAUCCUUGCUUUGAUUGUGGCUUCCUUUCAGUAGGUCUGCGACCAUGUUCGUUGCAGUCGCUGUGAAAAUUUUUCCUGGUCUUAUUCUCAUCUAUUGGACUUGGUACUCCGAUCUCCUCUACUACUAUGCCAUGAAAGAUUUCUUAACAUAUCCAUAAGCUGAUGAUCACAGGAUUCCAUUUGGUUGCUACUUGUUAGAGAAGGCACAUACAUGUCUUGGUAUUCAGUUCACUAUGCCAUCUCUCUCUCUAAAUAAAUUCCCCUCUUUUAUAGGUUGCAUCCGUUGAAAGCAUGGUUGAAAUGAGAUUUGAGUCUUAAGCUCUCUUGUGAUAGUAUUUUAACAGCUUUGCAUUUCUUGCUGGGGACAUUGACAUGCACUGGUUCUGGUGGGAAGGAUAAAAGCAUUAAUCCAUCUUUGGCAUGGAAGGGAUUUUGAACAGGUAUUUUAGGUAAACUUCUGCAUUAACUUCUGUUUUCAUAAUAGGGGAUAGAGGAAUGUUGUUGUGAAGAUGGUGGAGCUACUUUAGAUGGCACCAUAGUUCAAAACUUCAGAAAUUUAUCGACCCUAGUCGACAUGAAACCAUUAGUGACUCGACAGGUUUACAAGGUUUCGGUUGACAUUUUGAUGACAUGACUGUAACCGUUGAAAUAGUCAAAAUUUUUCUCAAAAUGAUUGAAAUUUUGAAUUGUAUGACUGUAACGGUAAAAUGGUCUAAUCAAUUGUAUGAUUUUCAUGUUGGAUGAA